rnacentral:sRNA from 1 species
CGAGUUACGGGUUCACGCACACUG